rnacentral:rRNA from 1 species
GAUGAACGCUGGCGGCGUGCUUAACACAUGCAAGUCGAACGGAAAGGCUCCUGCUUGCAGGGGUACUCGAGUGGCGAACGGGUGAGUAACACGUGGGUGAUCUGCCCUGCACUUCGGGAUAAGCCUGGGAAACUGGGUCUAAUACCGGAUAGGACGAUGGUUUGGACGCCAUUGUGGAAAGUUUUUCGGUGUGGGAUGAGCUCGCGGCCUAUCAGCUUGUUGGUGGGGUAAUGGCCUACCAAGGCGUCGACGGGUAGCCGGCCUGAGAGGGUGUACGGCCACAUUGGGACUGAGAUACGGCCCAGACUCCUACGGGAGGCAGCAGUGGGGAAUAUUGCACAAUGGGCGCAAGCCUGAUGCAGCGACGCCGCGUGGGGGAUGACGGCCUUCGGGUUGUAAACUCCUUUCGCUAGGGACGAAGCGCAAGUGACGGUACCUGGAGAAGAAGCACCGGCUAACUACGUG